UACGUAGGGUGCGAGCGUUGUCCGGAAUUAUUGGGCGUAAAGAGCUUGUAGGCGGUUUGUCGCGUCUGCUGUGAAAAUCCGGGGCUCAACCCCGGACUUGCAGUGGGUACGGGGCAGACUAGAGUGUGGUAGGGGAGACUGGAAUUCCUGGUGUAGCGGUGGAAUGCGCAGAUAUCAGGAGGAACACCGAUGGCGAAGGCAGGUCUCUGGGCCACUACUGACGCUGAGAAGCGAAAGCAUGGGGAGCGAACAGG
rnacentral:rRNA from 1 species